AGGAGGAACAGCCCCAGUGGCGGGGCCAGCUCUGCAGCCGUGGAGUCAGCCCCCGCAGUUACUCCGGAGCUCUCGGUCUGCGGGGCCUGGAGGCUCCGGGCGGGG
rfam:Canis lupus familiaris chromosome 28, whole genome shotgun sequence.